GGUGGCUCUUGCGGUAGAGCGCGGCGCUAACACUGCCAGAGUUGGGGGUUCAAUUCCCACCGGGGGCCGCCCCCA